rfam:Triticum aestivum genome assembly, contig: Triticum_aestivum_CS42_TGACv1_scaffold_193608_3AL
AUGGUACUCCCUCCGUUCCAAAUUACUUGUCGCAGAUAUGGAUGUAUCUAGAUGUAUUUUAGUUCUAGAUACAUCCAUUUCUGCGACGAGUAAUUUGGAACGGAGGGAGUAGUUG